rnacentral:rRNA from 1 species
AAGUGAGAAUGCCGGUGUGAGUAGCGAAAGACGGGUGAGAAUCCCGUCCACCGAUUGACUAAGGUUUCCAGAGGAAGGCUCGUCCGCUCUGGGUUAGUCGGGUCCUAAGCUGAGGCCGACAGGCGUAGGCGAUGGAUAACAGGUUGAUAUUCCUGUACCACCUAUAAUCGUUUUAAUCGAUGGGGGGACGCAGUAGGAUAGGCGAAGCGUGCGAUUGGAUUGCACGUCUAAGCAGUAAGGCUGAGUAUUAGGCAAAUCCGGUACUCGUUAAGGCUGAGCUGUGAUGGGGAGAAGACAUUGUGUCUUCGAGUCGUUGAUUUCACACUGCCGAGAAAAGCCUCUAGAUAGAAAAUAGGUGCCCGUACCGCAAACCGACACAGGUAGUCAAGAUGAGAAUUCUAAGGUGAGCGAGCGAACUCUCGUUAAGGAACUCGGCAAAAUGACCCCGUAACUUCGGGAGAAGGGGUGCUCUUUAGGGUUAACGCCCAGAAGAGCCGCAGUGAAUAGGCCCAAGCGACUGUUUAUCAAAAACACAGGUCUCUGCUAAACCGUAAGGUGAUGUAUAGGGGCUGACGCCUGCCCGGUGCUGGAAGGUUAAGAGGAGUGGUUAGCUUCUGCGAAGCUACGAAUCGAAGCCCCAGUAAACGGCGGCCGUAACUAUAACGGUCCUAAGGUAGCGAAAUUCCUUGUCGGGUAAGUUCCGACCCGCACGAAAGGCGUAACGAUUUGGGCACUGUCUCAACGAGAGACUCGGUGAAAUCAUAGUACCUGUGAAGAUGCAGGUUACCCGCGACAGGACGGAAAGACCCCGUGGAGCUUUACUGUAGCCUGAUAUUGAAAUUCGGCACAGCUUGUACAGGAUAGGUAGGAGCCUUUGAAACGUGAGCGCUAGCUUACGUGGAGGCGCUGGUGGGAUACUACCCUAGCUGUGUUGGCU